ACGUUACGCUACUUUUUCAAUUUCAGUACAUAAUUAUACAUUAUUGCACAACGAUUAAGCGACUAUUACGGUUGUAUAGAGUUUGGAAAAUUAGAAACUCAAUAAUUCAAAAUUUCCCUAUUGAGACCAUUGCUUGGAAUCUAUUGAAACCGAUAUAUUAAAUACCGGUAAAUACCUAUAUAAAACCAAAAUUUUAAUACUGAUGUAGUUUUCGAAACCAAACAGGACAAUAUUAAUUGUAAUACGGCAGU